rnacentral:rRNA from 1 species
UGUAUAAUGGGUCAGCGACUUAUAUUCUGUAGCAAGGUUAACCGAAUAGGGGAGCCGAAGGGAAACCGAGUCUUAACUGGGCGUUAAGUUGCAGGGUAUAGACCCGAAACCCGGUGAUCUAGCCAUGGGCAGGUUGAAGGUUGGGUAACACUAACUGGAGGACCGAACCGACUAAUGUUGAAAAAUUAGCGGAUGACUUGUGGCUGGGGGUGAAAGGCCAAUCAAACCGGGAGAUAGCUGGUUCUCCCCGAAAGCUAUUUAGGUAGCGCCUCGUGAAUUCAUCUCCGGGGGUAGAGCACUGUUUCGGCAAGGGGGUCAUCCCGACUUACCAACCCGAUGCAAACUGCGAAUACCGGAGAAUGUUAUCACGGGAGACACACGGCGGGUGCUAACGUCCGUCGUGAAGAGGGAAACAACCCAGACCGCCAGCUAAGGUCCCAAAGUCAUGGUUAAGUGGGAAACGAUGUGGGAAGGCCCAGACAGCCAGGAUGUUGGCUUAGAAGCAGCCAUCAUUUAAAGAAAGCGUAAUAGCUCACUGGUCGAGUCGGCCUGCGCGGAAGAUGUAACGGGGCUAAACCAUGCACCGAAGCUGCGGCAGCGACACUAUGUGUUGUUGGGUAGGGGAGCGUUCUGUAAGCCUGUGAAGGUGUACUGUGAGGUAUGCUGGAGGUAUCAGAAGUGCGAAUGCUGACAUAAGUAACGAUAAAGCGGGUGAAAAGCCCGCUCGCCGGAAGACCAAGGGUUCCUGUCCAACGUUAAUCGGGGCAGGGUGAGUCGACCCCUAAGGCGAGGCCGAAAGGCGUAGUCGAUGGGAAACAGGUUAAUAUUCCUGUACUUGGUGUUACUGCGAAGGGGGGACGGAGAAGGCUAUGUUGGCCGGGCGACGGUUGUCCCGGUUUAAGCGUGUAGGCUGGUUUUCCAGGCAAAUCCGGAAAAUCAAGGCUGAGGCGUGAUGACGAGGCACUACGGUGCUGAAGCGACAAAUGCCCUGCUUCCAGGAAAAGCCUCUAAGCAUCAGGUAACAUCAAAUCGUACCCCAAACCGACACAGGUGGUCAGGUAGAGAAUACCAAGGCGCUUGAGAGAACUCGGGUGAAGGAACUAGGCAAAAUGGUGCCGUAACUUCGGGAGAAGGCACGCUGAUAUGUAGGUGAAGCGACUUGCUCGUGGAGCUGAAAUCAGUCGAAGAUACCAGCUGGCUGCAACUGUUUAUUAAAAACACAGCACUGUGCAAACACGAAAGUGGACGUAUACGGUGUGACGCCUGCCCGGUGCCGGAAGGUUAAUUGAUGGGGUUAGCGGUAACGCGAAGCUCUUGAUCGAAGCCCCGGUAAACGGCGGCCGUAACUAUAACGGUCCUAAGGUAGCGAAAU